CGCUUGUUAAAAUCACCAUGCUAUCAAUAGCAUUAUCUAUUGUUCUUGGUAGUAUUAUUACUCUAUGUAGUGCUUCUAUCAACUCAGACUGUUGUCUUCCUGAUCAAUUUGAAACUCAUCUUGACAAGGUUUUUAACGCUGGCUUUGGUACUCACGGCAGUACGGAUAUUGCCAAUAUUGGUUUUAAAGAGUUAGCUGUUUAUUACGAUGCCACUUAUAAACAGAUAGCAUUUAUUCACUCAUAUGAUGUCACAAUGGACUUUAAGCAUGAUAUUAGAAGUUUUAGAGUAAUACAGGAUUUCAACAAGCUCAUGCAAUAUACGAUAAACACACGAAAUCAAACCUGUUCAAAGUCUCCACUGCCAGACAAUUUUCAUAGAGUAUGUACAG